CACACGAGUUAAAUCAAACAAAUAAUAAAAGAAAACCUAAAAUAAAAAUAACAAAACACCUAAGUCUUCAAUAGAGGGUAACUGAACAGUUCUCAUUUCUUCCUACAACCGACUCAAUCAGUGAUUAUUUCCAGUAACUUUCAACUUUUGCAACCUUCCACUCUGAUGAUCUCCUUUUGGUCUUGAUUGUUUUUCUAUUGCCGAUUUGGCACUCCCGAGCUUUUUGUAACUUCUUGUUUUAUCCCGUCUUUACUUAAUAAUUCCAUCAUUUCCUCCCAUUUGUAUUUGCCUUCUUCCCUCCAUCACCAGUUCUUUUACUCUCAUUGGGGCUUCUUUUAUCUAGUAUCUGGCUGUUUCAAACCUCUUGCCUUCCCGAGUCAGUCCAUGCGCUACGGUGUUUGCUUCUCUAAGUACGAAUCUAAACUUUAUCUCUUAAUAUAUUAAAGAGAUAAAUGGGCGGUUAAAGCUUAAAAACAACUUUCAAGCUACAUAUAAAGAAUGUAGUCAAGUAAACGGGAGUGAAGGUGGAACGGUGAACGAGAGUUUCAAGGAGGUGGAGGUGGUCAAUUAAAAGGAGUGAAGGUGGGGAUGGAGGGAGGCUUUAGGGGUAUUUUUUGGAUUGAAACAAUAAGUUUAAACAAAUGAGGCCACAAAGAGUUCGAGGGAGACAUUUUCAGAUCUUUAUUUGUGGUAAUCCUUAGGCGGAUCGAUGCUGCGAGGGACUCAGAUAUGGCCACACUAUUGUUUUUGUUUUCUUUUAUUUGCUAUUAGAUUUCGUUUUGGGUUUUGAAUUAUGUAAUAAGACCUCUCUAAUUUUGUUUGUUUUUAAUUUGGGUUUUUUUGUUUAUUAUGAUUUAUAUAUGUUGAACGUAGAAUGCGAUUUUCCAAAA